rnacentral:rRNA from 1 species
UUCGAUCUCAAAUCAGGUAGGACUACCCGCUGAACUUAAGCAUAUCAAUAAGCGGAGGAAAAGAAACUAACAAGGAUUCCCCUAGUAACUGCGAGUGAAGCGGGAAGAGCUCAAAUUUAAAAUCUGGCGCGCCUCUGGUCGUCCGAGUUGUAGUCUGGAGAAGUGUUUUCCGUGUUGGACCGUGUAUAAGUCUCUUGGAACAGGGCGUCAUA